UAAGGUGUGCCGCAGCAAUGCGGUCUCAGCAAAGAGUCCCUCCCGACUGUUUACCAAAAACACAGCACUUUGCCAACUCGUAAGAGGAAGUAUAAGGUGUGACGCCUGCCCGGUGCUCGAAGGUUAAGAGGAUGCGUCAGUCGCAAGAUGAAGCGUUGAAUUGAAGCCCGAGUAAACGGCGGCCGUAACUAUAACGGUCCUAAGGUAGCGAAUUCCUUGUCGGUUAAAUACCGACCUGCAUGAAUGGCGUAACGAGAUGGGAGCUGUCUCAACCAGAGAUUCAGUGAAAUUGUAGUGGAGGUGAAAAUUCCUCCUACCCGCGGCAAGACGGAAAGACCCCGUGGACCUUUACUACAACUUAGCACUGCUAAUGGGAAUAUCAUGCGCAGGAUAGGUGGGAGGCUUUGAAGUAAGGGCUUUGGCUCUUAUGGAGCCAUCCUUGAGAUACCACCCUUGAUGUUUCUGUUAGCUAACUGGCCUGUGUUAUCCACAGGCAGGACAAUGCUUGGUGGGUAGUU
rnacentral:rRNA from 1 species